AAUUAUACCGUGAAACUGCGAAUGGCUCAUUAAAUCAGUUAUCGUUUAUUUGAUAGUACCUUACUACUUGGAUACCCGUGGUAAUUCUAGAGCUAAUACAUGCAAAAAACCCCGACUUCGGGAGGGGUGUAUUUAUUAGAUAAAAAACCAAUGCCCUUCGGGGCUCUUUGGUGAUUCAUGAUAACUUAACGGAUCGCAUGGCCUUGCGCCGGCGACGGUUCAUUCAAAUUUCUGCCCUAUCAACUUUCGAUGGUAAGGUAUUGGCUUACCAUGGUUUCAACGGGUAACGGAUUUUUAGGGAAAGAUCCCGGAGAGGGAGCCUGAGAAACGGCUACCACAUCCAAGGAAGGCAGCAGGCGCGCAAAUUACCCAAUCCCGACACGGGGAGGUAGUGACAAUAAAUACUGAUACAGGGCUCUUUUGGGUCUUGUAAUCGGAAUGAGUACAAUUUAAAUACCUUAACGAGGAACAAUUGGAGGGCAAGUCUGGUGCCAGCAGCCGCGGUAAUUCCAGCUCCAAUAGCGUAUAUUAAAGUUGUUGCAGUUAAAAAGCUCGUAGUUGAACCUUGGGCCUGGCUGGCCGGUCCGCCUCACCGCGUGUACUGGUCCGGCCGGGCCUUUCCUUCUGGAGAACCGCAUGCCCUUCACUGGGUGUGCCGGGGAACCAGGACUUUUACUUUGAGAAAAUUAGAGUGUUCAAAGCAGGCCUUUGCUCGAAUACGUUAGCAUGGAAUAAUAGAAUAGGACGUGCGGUCCUAUUUUGUUGGUUUCUAGAACCGCCGUAAUGAUUAAUAGGGAUAGUCGGGGGCGUCAGUAUUCAAUUGUCAGAGGUGAAAUUCUUGGAUCUAUUGAAGACUAACUACUGCGAAAGCAUUCGCCAAGGAUGUUUUCAUUAAUCAGUGAACGAAAGUUAGGGGAUCGAAGACGAUCAGAUACCGUCGUAGUCUUAACCGUAAACUAUGCCGACUAGGGAUCGGGCGAUGUUUCUAUAUUGACUCGCUCGGCACCUUACGAGAAAUCAUAAGUUU
rnacentral:rRNA from 1 species